rnacentral:tRNA from 1 species
GUUAUUUUGGCAGAUAAGUGCGACAGACUUAGGAUCUUUAUAUGUGAUACAUUUUACAUUUAACA